CUUUCUCUUAACAAGUCGGGUUCCAGCAGACUCGCUAACAUGCCCGUAUCAGACAGAGGAAACUGGAACAUGGCAGAUCAAAGAGUCUUGCUGUAAAUAAAAAGACCUGCAAGAUGCUGGGAAAACAUCCUUGCUGUGAAAUCUCUUCUGAUCGACCAGUAUUUGCCCCGUGUGUCUUGAGCUUUCUGAUCCCAUCUGUCACCACAGACAGUCCUUGAAAGG